GGUAACCUGCCCCUGUGCGGGGGAUAACAGGAGGAAACUCCUGCUAAUACCGCAUAGCCAUGAGCACCGCAUGGAGCUCAUGCCAAAUAUCCUUUCGGGGAUAGCGCAGGGAUGGACCUAUGGCGCAUUAGCUGGUUGGCGGGGCAACGGCCCACCAAGGCAACGAUGCGUAGCCGGCCUGAGAGGGCGGACGGCCACAUUGGGACUGAGACACGGCCCAGACUCCUACGGGAGGCAGCAGUAGGGAAUUUUCGGCAAUGGGGGAAACCCUGACCGAGCAACGCCGCGUGAGCGAAGAAGGCCUUCGGGUCGUAAAGCUCUGUUGUAAAGGAAGAACGGCGCAUACAGGAAAUGGUAUGCGAGUGACGGUACUUUACCAGAAAGCCACGGCUAACUACGUGCCAGCAGCCGCGGUAAUACGUAGGUGGCGAGCGUUAUCCGGAAUCAUUGGGCGUAAAGAGGGAGCAGGCGGCCGCAAGGGUCUGUGGUGAAAGACCGAAGCUAAACUUCGGUAAGCCAUGGAAACCGGGCGGCUAGAGUGCGGAAGAGGAUCGUGGAAUUCCAUGUGUAGCGGUGAAAUGCGUAGAUAUAUGGAGGAACACCAGUGGCGAAGGCGACGGUCUGGG
rnacentral:rRNA from 1 species